rnacentral:lncRNA from 1 species
GACAUCACGGAAGGGAACCUGCGGGACUCUUUUGACAUCAUCAAGCGUUACAUGGACGGCAUGACCGUGGCCCCUCUCCUGAACUGUCACAUUUUAAAAGAUUUACAGUCAUGGGAAAUGAAAACGGUGGCAUCUGCCAUUUUGGACUCGGAUUUAUACUCUGAACACUUUCAAAGCAGCUGAGCAACGGACGGACAGUCCCUGACCUCCCCUGGGCCUCAGUUUCCCCAUUGUGAACUGGGAGGAGUGGGCUUCCUAGUCCCUUAGGCGCUGGAGUCCGGGAGGUCCUAACCAGAACCCACGAGCGUGCAGUGCGCACAGAGCAGAGCGUUUUGGAGCCUGGCCUCCAGGUGGCGCUGUUGGACCUUGGACGCUCAGUCUUUGCGCCUCAAACCCGACGGUUGUUAAAACUGGCAGCUGGAGAAAGGGAAUCGUUAUUCCCGUCUUGCCAAAGAGCCAUUUAUAGCACCUUUACAAGCUUUUAAAUGGGUUUGCAUGUUGUAAACAUGACUGAGUCACUGGGGGGCUCCCCACCCCAGCCUCCUCCUGCGCUAGCUGGCAGCAGGAAUAAUUAGUUAAUUACAAUUAAUGGUGCAUUA